AGAAGACACUGUUUUCUGCUUUGCAAAAGCAAAUUCUCUUUGUAAACAAUUCCAAAGUAUGAGGAUGUGAUGAGUCAGUGGUUAAAAUUACCACAGCGAUACAACAGCAGAAUAACAUUUUCACAAUUGCUUCUUAAAUCUCUGUGAGGUCUAAAUGGGAUUUACAAAACACCAUUAAAGAUAUAGGACAAUAGCCACUUUAUUUGGACCAACUUGCUCCUCAGAAUCACAAGCUUACCUUUCUGGAUCUUGAGAAGUUCGGUGACAUUGCUGGCAAUAGAGGCCUCACUGAGCCAUUGGAUUUCAUCAAAAAUAUCUUAAUUUGUGUUCCGAAGAUGAACGAAGGUCUUACGGGUGUAGAACGACAUGAGGCCUCGCUGUCCCGUCCUGAGAUGCACACUACAGUAGUGAUUCCCGGACUUCAUGCAGUCCUCGCAGAGAGAUGGGAAGUUCUCCGCAGAGACGUCUCAUCGACUCAUUCAGAGCGACCAUCAAAAAAUCACUUUCUGCAAGGGCACCAGUGACAUGGCUCAUAAAUCUGAUUUUAACACCAUCCUCCCAACUAACAGGGAACGUUUCAGAACUUUGGAUAACUUUCUGGCAAGGUUCUCUCAAAGUUAUGAACAUUUUUUGUUAGUUGGGCUGUCCCUCACUUUUCCUUUCUUUUCUGAAACACAUACACACACAGGCUGUGAGAACUCUUUCAGCAAAUUAUUGCCAAACUUUAGCGAAAUAAAGGAUGUAUGCAUAUGUAACCAACUGAUUAUGUAACGUGCAAAACUGUCAACCAGUAGAGAUAUUUGAGUGGUAAAGAAACAUUGUGUAGUCCGAAAAUACAGUGCAGCAGGUGUCCUAGAUAAGUCAAGUUGAGGAAAAACUUAAUAAAAGAUGUAACAGGAAGCAGAGUUUGAGGUUUAUGAUUGCCGAGCAACAUGGCUUACAUUCACAAGUUUCCAUCCAUCCAUCUAAUGAUAUUAGUUCUACUGCUUUAAGUCUUGUUUGUAACUCAAGUGUAAUAAUGUGAAGCAGCUGUUUUUGCCAGAUUUCUCAUUCAUUAACGAAUCUGAUCUAUUUACUUGCAUCCAUC